rnacentral:rRNA from 1 species
CGCGCAGGCGGCAUCGCAAGUCGGUCUUAAAAGUGCGGGGCUUAACCCCGUGAGGGGACCGAAACUGUGAAGCUCGAGUGUCGGAGAGGAAAGCGGAAUUCCUAGUGUAGCGGUGAAAUGCGUAGAUAUUAGGAGGAACACCAGUGGCGAAAGCGGCUUUCUGGACGACAACUGACGCUGAGGCGCGAAAGCCAGGGGAGCAAACG